AGAGCGUAGGGAGAAUGCCUUGGCAUUAGGAGCCGACGAAGGACGUGAUAAGCUGCGAUAAGCUGCGGGGAUCAGCAAGUAUGAAUUGAUCCGCAGAUUUCCGAAUGGAGCAAUCCGUAUGUGUAUGCACAUACAUCAUAUACUGAAUCAAAUAGGUAUAUGAGGGGAACCGCCUGAACUGAAACAUCUAAGUAGGGCGAGGAAGAGAAAUCAACCGAGAUUCUGUGAGUAGUGGCGAGCGAAAGCGGAAGAGGCUAAACCAUAGGUAGCAAUACUUAUGGGGUUUCGGACAGCAUUUAGUAUUGAUAAUUUCUAGUUGAAACGUGUGGGAAAACGUACCGAAGAGUGUGAGAGUCACGUAAGCGAAAGAGAGAAUCAGCGAGCUGUAUCCAAAGUACCGCGGGACACGUGAAACCCCGUGGGAAGAUGGGGGGACCAUCCUCCAAGCCUAAAUACUACCUAAUGACCGAUAGCGAAUAGUACUGUGAAGGAACGGUGAAAAGAACCCCGGGAGGGGAGUGAAAAAGAACCUGAAACCCUAUGCUUACAAGCACCGAGAGCACGUCAAAGUGUGAUCGGGUACCUUUUGUAGAAUGGUCCGGCGAGUUAUUGUAUGCGGCAAGGUUAAGUGCUUAAGGCACGGAGCCGAAGCGAGAGCAAGUCUGAACAGGGCGAAAAAGUCGUAUGCAAUAGACCCGAAACCGAGUGACCUAUCCAUGUCCAGGCUGAAGUGGAGGUAAAACUCCAUGGAGGGCCGAACACACGUCCGUUGAAAAGGCCGGUGAUGAGGUGUGGAUAGCGGAGAAAUUCCAAUCGAACUCGGAUAUAGCUGGUUCUCUCCGAAAUAGCUUUAGGGCUAGCCUCGUGAAAGAUUACUGGAGGUAAAGCACUGAAUGGGCUAGGGGUCGAAAGAUUACUGAACCCUAUCAAACUAAGAAUGCCAGAUAAUUGAUUCACGGGAGUCAGACAAUGUGAGAUAAGUCUCAUUGUCAAAAGGGAAACAGCCCAGACCCACAGCUAAGGUCCCUAAACAUUGUUAAGUGGAAAAGGAUGUGGGGUUGCAUAAACAACCAGGAUGUUGGCUUAGAAGCAGCCACUCAUUAAAAGAGUGCGUAAUAGCUCACUGGUCGAGUGACCCUGCGCCGAAAAUUCAACGGGGCUAAACAAUGUACCGAAGCUUGGGAUUCUAGAUUUAUCUAGAGUGGUAGGAGAGCGUCGAAUAAGGGGUGAAGUCAGAGCGGAAGCGCUGGUGGACUUUAUUCGAGUGAGAAUGCCGGAAUGAGUAGCGAGAAUUAUGUGAGAAUCAUAAUGGCCGAAAAUCUAAGGUUUCCUGAGGAAGGUUCGUCCGCUCAGGGUAAGCCGGGGGCUAAGGCGAGGCGGAGACGCGUAGCCGAUGCACAUACGGUUGAAAUUCCGUAGCCACCGAAAGAUUUAAGUACAGGGACGCUUUAGAAGUGAUGUAGCCGGGCGAUGGUUGACCCGGUCGUAAGGGAUCGAAAAUGAGUAGAGAAGUCAUCAUGGAAAGAGACAAGAAAAGCUGUAUGAAUAUCUUAGGUGCCCGUACCGCAAACCGACACAGGUAGAUAGGAAGAAGAUUCUAAGGCCAACGGGAGAAGGGUUGUUAAGGAACUCGGCAAGUUGACCCCGUAACUUAGGGAUAAGGGGUGCUCAAGUGAUUGAGCCGCAGAGAAUAGGCCCAGGCGACUGUUUAGCAAAAACACAGGUCUCUGCUAAAUCGAAAGAUGACGUAUAGGGGCUGACACCUGCCCGGUGCCGGAAGGUUAAGAGGAGAUGUGAGAGCAUUGAAUUGAAGCCCCGGUAAACGGCGGCCGUAACUAUAACGGUCCUAAGGUAGCGAAAUUCCUUGUCAGGUAAGUUCUGACCCGCACGAAAGGUGUAACGAUCUGGGCACUGUCUCAACAACUCGCCCGGCGAAAUUGUAGUACCGGUGAAGAUGCCGGUUACCCGCGACUAGACGGAAAGACCCCAUGGAGCUUUACUGUAGCCUAAUAUUGGAUUUCGGUAUUUCACGUACAGGAUAGGUGGGAGACUGGGAAGCACAGGCGUCAGCUUGUGUGGAGUCGACCUUGGGAUACCACUCUUGGAGUGCUGGAAUUCUAACCUGCGGCUUUGAAGCAAGUCGGGGGACAUUGUUAGGUGGGCAGUUUGACUGGGGCGGUCGCCUCCUAAAGAGUAACGGAGGCGCUCAAAGGU
rnacentral:rRNA from 1 species